CCAGCACGGCAGACAGAGGCAGGUGAGCAGGCAGGAUCUGAUCGGCUGGCACAGACACCGGCGUAGGAUGGCAGUGGCUUCAUUCACAGGGUGAUGAAGAGGAGAAGCUGGUUUGUCGCCACGCACUGCUCAGAUAAUGGCGGAAGCAAAGGCUCCUCUCAGCUCUAGGCAAACGGAAGCUAGGGACUGGGUAUGCUGAGGCUGGUGUCUGCACGCGCCGGAGGGGGCUGGGCUUCAGGACCCUGGACAGCGCCUCUGCCGCACCCGAGCACCAGGACCAGUGCUGAGGACGAUUAGGGAUGACAUUCGCAGGGUGGCUGGAACACAGACAACAUGAUAAGAGUGAGCGCUGGUGAGAAUAAACAAGGCGUGAGUUAUGGGGACUGCCAAAUGUGCUGUGCGCUCUGAACUCUUCAUCGGCUGAAGGUUUUUUCUUGGUGUUUGGCUGAAAAAGCUUCCCAGUUACCCGCUAAGGGGAGGUGAAGGCUGAUGAUGCUGUACAAGGCCAGUUUCUUAAUAAACAGUGUGUGCAGUCCA